GAUGAACGCUGACAGAAUGCUUAACACAUGCAAGUCUACUUGAACUUCGGUUUGGGUGGCGGACGGGUGAGUAACGCGUAAAGAACUUGCCUCACAGUUAGGGACAACAUUUGGAAACGAAUGCUAAUACCUGAUAUUAUGAUUUUAGGGCAUCCUAAGAUUAUGAAAGCUAUAUGCACUGUGAGAGAGCUUUGCGUCCCAUUAGCUAGUUGGAGAGGUAACGGCUCACCAAGGCGAUGAUGGGUAGCCGGCCUGAGAGGGUGAACGGCCACAAGGGGACUGAGACACGGCCCUUACUCCUACGGGAGGCAGCAGUGGGGAAUAUUGGACAAUGGACCAAAAGUCUGAUCCAGCAAUUCUGUGUGCACGAUGACGUUUUUCGGAAUGUAAAGUGCUUUCAGUUGGGAAGAAAAAAAUGACGGUACCAACAGAAGAAGUGACGGCUAAAUACGUGCCAGCAGCCGCGGUAAUACGUAUGUCACAAGCGUUAUCCGGAUUUAUUGGGCGUAAAGCGCGUCUAGGUGGUUAUGUAAGUCUGAUGUGAAAAUGCAGGGCUCAACUCUGUAUUGCGCUGGAAACUGCAUGACUAGAGUACUGGAGAGGUAAGCGGAACUACAAGUGUAGAGGUGAAAUUCGUAGAUAUUUGUAGGAAUGCCGAUGGGGAAGCCAGCUUACUGGACAGAUACUGACGCUAAAGCGCGAAAGCGUGGGUAGCAAACAGG
rnacentral:rRNA from 1 species